UUGGCUUUUAUAGUGAAAGUCAAAAUAUAUUCUGUAUCGAGAUAAAGUCGAUUCUCUAACUUUUAUAGUGAAAGCCAAAAUAUAUUCUGUAUGUCAAUUUUUAUAGUGAAAAAUUGAAAUAUAGUUGAUAGAAAUUGACCGUUCAUCUGUCGGUCUAUUAUCACUUUGUAGUUGACUAAAACUUGUGAUUCUAAAAUACAAUGUUUCUUCACCGACUCUUUUUUGAAAGUUGCCCCCCC
rnacentral:lncRNA from 1 species